CUCUCUGAUUCAGCGGCGGACGGGUGAGUAAUGCCUAGGAAUCUGCCUGGUAGUGGGGGGCAACGUUUCGAAAGGAACGCUAAUACCGCAUACGUCCUACGGGAGAAAGCAGGGGACCUUCGGGCCUUGCGCUAUCAGAUGAGCCUAGGUCGGAUUAGCUAGUUGGUGAGGUAAUGGCUCACCAAGGCGACGAUCCGUAACUGGUCUGAGAGGAUGAUCAGUCACACUGGAACUGAGACACGGUCCAGACUCCUACGGGAGGCAGCAGUGGGGAAUAUUGGACAAUGGGCGAAAGCCUGAUCCAGCCAUGCCGCGUGUGUGAAGAAGGUCUUCGGAUUGUAAAGCACUUUAAGUUGGGAGGAAGGGCAGUAAGUUAAUACCUUGCUGUUUUGACGUUACCGACAGAAUAAGCACCGGCUAACUUCGUGCCAGCAGCCGCGGUAAUACGAAGGGUGCAAGCGUUAAUCGGAAUUACUGGGCGUAAAGCGCGCGUAGGUGGUUUGUUAAGUUGGAUGUGAAAGCCCCGGGCUCAACCUGGGAACUGCAUCCAAAACUGGCAAGCUAGAGUAUGGCAGAGGGUGGUGGAAUUUCCUGUGUAGCGGUGAAAUGCGUAGAU
rnacentral:rRNA from 1 species